GGGUUGUGAGGUUAAGCGACUAAGCGUACACGGUGGAUGCCCUGGCAGUCAGAGGCGAUGAAGGGCGUGCUAAUCUGCGAUAAGCGCCGGUAAGGUGAUAUGAACCGUUAUAACCGGCGAUACCCGAAUGGGGAAACCCAGUGUGAUUCGUCACACUAUCAUUAACUGAAUCCAUAGGUUAAUGAGGCGAACCGGGGGAACUGAAACAUCUAAGUACCCCGAGGAAAAGAAAUCAACCGAGAUUCCCCCAGUAGCGGCGAGCGAACGGGGAGGAGCCCAGAGCCUGAAUCAGCAUGUGUGUUAGUGGAAGCGUCUGGAAAGGCGCGCGAUACAGGGUGACAGCCCCGUACACAAAAGCGCAUGUGCUGUGAGCUCGAUGAGUAGGGCGGGACACGUGGUAUCCUGUCUGAAUAUGGGGGGACCAUCCUCCAAGGCUAAAUACUCCUGACUGACCGAUAGUGAACCAGUACCGUGAGGGAAAGGCGAAAAGAACCCCGGCGAGGGGAGUGAAAAAGAACCUGAAACCGUGUACGUACAAGCAGUGGGAGCCCCACCACUAAGCCAGUGGUGAACUCCACAUACGCAUCCUUUGCUGAGGAUACGGUUAACGGAGCGAAAGCGACGUUCAACCGCAAAAGAAGCAGAGGGGGCUUAGUGGUGGGGUGACUGCGUACCUUUUGUAUAAUGGGUCAGCGACUUAUAUUCUGUAGCAAGGUUAACCGAAUAGGGGAGCCGGAGGGAAACCGAGUCUUAAUUGGGCGUUAAGUUGCAGGGUAUAGACCCGAAACCCGGUGAUCUAGCCAUGGGCAGGUUGAAGGUUGGGUAACACUAACUGGAGGACCGAACCGACUAAUGUUGAAAAAUUAGCGGAUGACCUGUGGCUGGGGGUGAAAGGCCAAUCAAACCGGGAGAUAGCUGGUUCUCCCCGAAAGCUAUUUAGGUAGCGCCUCGUGAAUUCAUCUCCGGGGGUAGAGCACUGUUUCGGCUAGGGGGCCAUCCCGGCUUACCAACCCGAUGCAAACUGCGAAUACCGGAGAAUGUUAUCACGGGAGACACACGGCGGGUGCUAACGUCCGUCGUGAAGAGGGAAACAACCCAGACCGCCAGCUAAGGUCCCAAAGUCAUGGUUAAGUGGGAAACGAUGUGGGAAGGCCCAGACAGCCAGGAUGUUGGCUUAGAAGCAGCCAUCAUUUAAAGAAAGCGUAAUAGCUCACUGGUCGAGUCGGCCUGCGCGGAAGAUGUAACGGGGCUAAACCAUGCACCGAAGCUGCGGCAGCGAACGUAUCACUUAAAGCGAUUCAGCGGGUUACGAUUGACGGAGCGAAGCGACGUCAAAGCGUAUACAAAGUCGAGUCGGUUUAAGGAUACGUUCGUUGGGUAGGGGAGCGUUCUGUAAGCCUGUGAAGGUGGCCUGUGAGGGUUGCUGGAGGUAUCAGAAGUGCGAAUGCUGACAUAAGUAACGAUAAAGCGGGUGAAAAGCCCGCUCGCCGGAAGACCAAGGGUUCCUGUCCAACGUUAAUCGGGGCAGGGUGAGUCGACCCCUAAGGCGAGGCCGAAAGGCGUAGUCGAUGGGAAACGGGUUAAUAUUCCCGUACUUGGUGUUACUGCGAAGGGGGGACGGAGAAGGCUAUGUUGGCCGGGCGACGGUUGUCCCGGUUUAAGCGUGUAGGUGUGUGUUCCAGGUAAAUCCGGUUCACUUUAACACUGAGGCGUGAUGACGAGGCACUACGGUGCUGAAGCAACAAAUGCCCUGCUUCCAGGAAAAGCCUCUAAGCAUCAGGUAACAUCAAAUCGUACCCCAAACCGACACAGGUGGUCAGGUAGAGAAUACCAAGGCGCUUGAGAGAACUCGGGUGAAGGAACUAGGCAAAAUGGUGCCGUAACUUCGGGAGAAGGCACGCUGACACGUAGGUGAAGUGAUUUACUCAUGGAGCUGAAGUCAGUCGAAGAUACCAGCUGGCUGCAACUGUUUAUUAAAAACACAGCACUGUGCAAACACGAAAGUGGACGUAUACGGUGUGACGCCUGCCCGGUGCCGGAAGGUUAAUUGAUGGGGUCAGCGCAAGCGAAGCUCCUGAUCGAAGCCCCGGUAAACGGCGGCCGUAACUAUAACGGUCCUAAGGUAGCGAAAUUCCUUGUCGGGUAAGUUCCGACCUGCACGAAUGGCGUAAUGAUGGCCAGGCUGUCUCCACCCGAGACUCAGUGAAAUUGAACUCGCUGUGAAGAUGCAGUGUACCCGCGGCAAGACGGAAAGACCCCGUGAACCUUUACUAUAGCUUGACACUGAACAUUGAGCCUUGAUGUGUAGGAUAGGUGGGAGGCUUUGAAGUGUGGACGCCAGUCUGCAUGGAGCCGACCUUGAAAUACCACCCUUUAAUGUUUGAUGUUCUAACGUGGACCCGUGAUCCGGGUUGCGGACAGUGUCUGGUGGGUAGUUUGACUGGGGCGGUCUCCUCCUAAAGAGUAACGGAGGAGCACGAAGGUUGGCUAAUCCUGGUCGGACAUCAGGAGGUUAGUGCAAUGGCAUAAGCCAGCUUGACUGCGAGCGUGACGGCGCGAGCAGGUGCGAAAGCAGGUCAUAGUGAUCCGGUGGUUCUGAAUGGAAGGGCCAUCGCUCAACGGAUAAAAGGUACUCCGGGGAUAACAGGCUGAUACCGCCCAAGAGUUCAUAUCGACGGCGGUGUUUGGCACCUCGAUGUCGGCUCAUCACAUCCUGGGGCUGAAGUAGGUCCCAAGGGUAUGGCUGUUCGCCAUUUAAAGUGGUACGCGAGCUGGGUUUAGAACGUCGUGAGACAGUUCGGUCCCUAUCUGCCGUGGGCGCUGGAGAACUGAGGGGGGCUGCUCCUAGUACGAGAGGACCGGAGUGGACGCAUCACUGGUGUUCGGGUUGUCAUGCCAAUGGCACUGCCCGGUAGCUAAAUGCGGAAGAGAUAAGUGCUGAAAGCAUCUAAGCACGAAACUUGCCCCGAGAUGAGUUCUCCCUGAGACUUAGAGUCUCCUGAAGGAACGUUGAAGACGACGACGUUGAUAGGCCGGGUGUGUAAGCGCAGCGAUGCGUUGAGCUAACCGGUACUAAUGAACCGUGAGGCUUAACCUUACAACGCCGAAG
rnacentral:rRNA from 1 species